UAGGUCCACAUACAUACAACCUUGUUUGCCUGCCUCCUGCUCCCUUGUGCUACUCUUGGCAUUUUUAGCCUGGUCAGAAACAGACAAAGGCACUGCUUGCUAUGCUGCGAGUGCCCAGGCAACCUGGCCUUGGCGAUGUCUAACUGGAGCCUUUUCUUUCUAACUGCGCCUCUCCUUUUUCCUUCAUCUUUGUUGCUGCAGACGCCUCCCACCCUCACCCCAAAGAGCAGCUGGAAACAAAACAUCCCUUGUGGAAUCUCAACCUCCCGCUUCUUUUCAGGAGGCUCCAGCAGGCAGGAUGGGAGCUGAGCCCCUGUUGAGCAAGGGUGACAUCAUGCAGCCUCCGCCAGGAGGGAGAUCAGAAGAGGAAUUUAAAAGGACUGGCAUGCUUCGGCACAGAGAGAUUUAACGUAGGGCGUGCCCAUGCAUCGUACCCAAGAAACCCCCCAAGUUGGGGUGGGUGAUUGUCAGUCUUGGGUUCUAUCAGUUUCACAUGUUCCCACUCUUACUUCUCCUCAUUUCCACUUUUUUUCUUUUAAAGAAAUUCCUCAGCAUUUUAGUGCAAUUCUCUUGCAAUUCGCACCUUUUUAUCUGCAGUUUUACCUAAUAUAUGUAUUAUUACUUUUUUGCAAAGCAGUCUCCCCUAAUAUAAUGCAUUUUAUAUUCUAUUUUCACUGAUCUAUGCAUUUUUUGUACACAUGACAUGGCUGGAGGACUACACUGCAAAAUUCUGAGAAGAACAGUUUCAAAGAAUAACACCAUGUCAGUUUGUGUAUUUCUUCCAGAAAGUACUUAGGUUGGUUCACUUUUAAGUGUGAACUGAAUCAAAAUUCUCCCUCAGGAGGGGUGUCUGAUUUUGGGGGAAUUGUAAGUUGUGCAGUUGCUGUGCAGUGAUGGCCUAUAUGAAGGAAGUAGUGGCAUAGUGACAGAAGGCUUGCACCUCAUCAGUUUUUUGUUUCGUUUUAGCAUUGGUAUGUGCUCAGGACAUUUUGCUGCCUGAGGCAGAGAUGGUACCCCCUCAUUUCUGGCUGGCCUGGCCUCUGAUUUCAACCACACCUUUCAUUUUAUUCUGUUGGCAACAUCUGUCACAGAGCAUCUGUCAUAUGGUGUAAGAGUGCAACUAUCAAAGAAACUGAUGCACAUCAUCGCUCCUGUGCAAAAAUAUGAGUAUGGAGCAAUAAAUGCAGCAAAAUGGUGUACAUACCAGUCUCACAAAUGCUGCUCCAAUUCUUAUUCUGGUUUCAAGUUACUGUUGUGCUCUUGAUCAUAAAGACAAAGGAAGAUUUUUAACAAAGGCAUGGGUGAGUCCAUGCUAGGCUUUUCUGCUGCUAGAGUUCCAGGUUUCUAUUCCGUGUAAUUCAGUGGAAUAGUAGCUGCUUUGCAUGCAGGAGGGUCCAGGUUCACUCCCUGGCACCCCCAAGAUAGGGCUGAGAAUCUCCCCUCUCUGAAACCCUGAAGGGCCACUGUCAUUCAGUGUAGACAAGACUGAGCUAGAUGAACUAAUGCUCAAUUUAAGGAGGCUUCCGGUUUUCCUAUAUACGCAUCUCCUCUCAACAUCCCAGAUGAUGCAGGUCCAAAAACACUGUAAUGAUUCCAUAAUUUUGCCCAGUGGAAUUGAUUGGCAGUAGGUUUGAGACAGAAAAAAAAAUGCUUCCUCACCUAAUGCCUGAUGAGCUUCUGGGAUUUCCGGGUGUCAUGAGAGCUACUAGAUUAAAUGGCAUUAAAAUGAGGUCAAACAAAGGCAUGAAGUACAUCUGUCCUGUAUGAGAGCUAAGUGCCACCUCCAUGAAUUCCAGAUACUGGAGAACAAGGCAAAGCUGCUGCCUUUGAAAACAUAAGAAAAGCCUUAAUGGAUGAGACCAAUGUUCUCACAGUGACCAAUCAGAUACCUAUGGGAAGCCUGCAAGCAGGAGCACUUGGGCACAAGAGCACUCUCACCUUCUGUGAAUGCAUCUCGGAUGCAUCUGGCUGGCCAAAGCUGGAAAAAGCAUGCUGGGCAGCUAAGCAGACCCAAUUUAGCAGGGCACGUCUUACCAUAUAUUCUUAUUGCCCGUGAUGUCAGAAUCCAAUGCUGCCCAGUGCAGUGUGUGAAGGAGACUGCCAUCACAGCUGACAUCUCUUUGGAACGAGGCUCUGCCUCAACAAUCACAGUGUGUAUUUGUGAUGUAUCCUUCCAAGCCCAUGCCAAGUGCUGGCUUGUCUCCUUCAUACACUGGCUGGCAGAGGUUCUGAAGGAUUUGUACAAUGGCAGAGAACAGCCCAAACAUUCAUAGCCUGGGGCCCAACCUGAAGCUUUUGCGAGGCUCUGGGGUAUAAAUUCGCUAGUGAUUUUGGCAAACAGUGCUAUAGCAUCUAUUUUUUCUUUUCCUAUCAAAGAGGUCUGUCUUACCAUUUUUAUUUUCUACCUAUGUUAACCAGGUGAAAUGCCAAAUGAAUUUAUGCAUACACUGUGCUUUUUCAGCUAGUCAUGAUGUCUAUCUUGUGUCGGAAGCUGAGCAGUGGGAAUCAUUCCAUUUGUAAUUUAAGUGUUAAUCGUGUUAGUGUUAAAGUCAGCUAACAAAGAGAGGGAAGGACUGCUUAGCAAUGAAGCUGAUUAGCAUGAUAUUCACUGAGGCAGCACAUAUCCUGAUUGGCUGUCUAGUUCUGAUGGAGUUUUAUCUCUGAAUGUUUGGUUAAACAUCCUUUUGCUAUGUACAAGGCCUGAACUAAGAAAGACAAAAUCUCUCUUUUUAUUUCUCCUCAAAUUAUAGGCUAGGUUUUAUUCUCUCCCCCACUUCAGAUUCAUUAGUAAAGUGACAUUGGACUUUAUUUAAGGGACUUUCCUAACAAAUGUAACAUCCAGGAUCAGAGGCAGAACACCUCUGAAUACCAGCAAAUGGAAAGGGUCAUUGCCCUCGUCUCCUGCUUGUUAGCUUCUCAGGAGCAUCUAGUCACCCAAUGUGAGAAGCAAGUUGUUGGAGAAGCAAGGGUAUGUUGUGCAGUGGUGAUAAGUGGAUGUCAUGACCCGGGACCCAGGUGGAUGUCAUGGCCCAGGACACACACCUAGGUUCAUACCCUCUGUCACAGAAUAUGUGACCUCAGCCUGCUAAGUGCUGAGUCUGCAUAAACAUGUUACCGCAGCCACAACCACAAGGUAUCUGUGCCAUUGCCCUGUAUUGGUAAUGUGUUGGAAAUAUAAUAAUCUCUCUCCUGCCUGUUUAUUUUGUAAGGAAUUCAGUGCUGCCUUGAAGCUCUAACUGUUUGCUACUUCUCCCUGCACCCCUUACCUGUGAAUAAGGUGCAUUUCUAUAUUUUGCGGGCAUAGCACCCAUUGUGGGCCUCUCUUAUCAGCUUCCAAAGCAGAGAAGAGCAAGCUAACCUUGAACAGAAGAAAUACUGGGAGAUCUUCAAAGAAGAGAAACAGUAAAUUCUCCUGACCCAGACAAGUCUUCAUGCAGCAGAUAGUAGAAAAGCAACAUUUUGUAUGAACUUUGCUUAAAGAUACCUGUUGUCAUGGUAAUUUUGGGCAGGCUGUUCUGACCAAUGAAAUUUGUUUUAGGGGUCCACAAGCUAUCCAUGCAUUCUGUUAUCCAAUCAUAUUACUGAAAAGGAUCGCACACAAGGUGAUCACGCAUGUAAAUGUUAUGAAAGUGUCUUGAAUUUUGUAUUUGGGGUCCAAAAUUUGGAGAAAUCCUCUGGAUCAUUUAUUAUUGUUGCAGCCUGCAAUAAAUAUGAUCUCCUUCCAUGA